UUUGUAUUCCCUCCGUCCGAAAAUACUUGUCAUCAAAAUGAAUAAAAGAGGAUGUAUCUAGAUGUAUUUUAGUUUUAGAUACAUCUCUUUUUAUUCAUUUUGAUGACAAGUAUUUUCGGACGAAGGGAGUAGCAU
rnacentral:pre_miRNA from 1 species